GAUGAACGCUGGCGGCGUGCUUAACACAUGCCAGUCGAACGAAGCACUUUAUUUGAUUUCCUUCGGGACUGAUUAUUUUGUGACUGAGUGGCGGACGGGUGAGUAACGCGUGGGUAACCUGCCUUGUACAGGGGGAUAACAGUUGGAAACGGCUGCUAAUACCGCAUAAGCGCACGGCAUCGCAUGAUGCAGUGUGAAAAACUCCGGUGGUAUAAGAUGGACCCGCGUUGGAUUAGCUAGUUGGUGAGGUAACGGCCCACCAAGGCGACGAUCCAUAGCCGACCUGAGAGGGUGACCGGCCACAUUGGGACUGAGACACGGCCCAAACUCCUACGGGAGGCAGCAGUGGGGAAUAUUGCACAAUGGGCGAAAGCCUGAUGCAGCGACGCCGCGUGAGCGAAGAAGUAUUUCGGUAUGUAAAGCUCUAUCAGCAGGGAAGAUAAUGACGGUACCUGACUAAGAAGCACCGGCUAAAUACGUG
rnacentral:rRNA from 1 species